rnacentral:rRNA from 1 species
CAGCAGCCACGGUAAUACGAAGGGGGCUAGCGUUGCUCGGAAUGACUGGGCGUAAAGGGCGCGUAGGCGGUUUGUACAGUUGGGUGUGAAAUUCCUGGGCUUAACCUGGGGACUGCGCUUAAUACAGGCAGUCUAGAGUGAGGAAGAGGGUUGUGGAAUUCCCAGUGUAGAGGUGAAACUCGAAGAUAUUGGGAAGAACACCGGUGGCGAAGGCGGCAACCUGGUCCUUGACUGACGCUGAGGCGCGAAAGCGUGGGGAGCAAACAGGAUUAGAUACCCGCGUAGUCCCUGUCUCUUAUAC